rnacentral:rRNA from 1 species
GAUGAACGCUGGCGGCGUGCCUAAUACAUGCAAGUCGAGCGAACGGACGAGAAGCUUGCUUCUCUGAUGUUAGCGGCGGACGGGUGGGUAACACGUGGAUAACCUACCUAUAAGACUGGGAUAACUUCGGGAAACCGGAGCUAAUACCGGAUAAUAUUUUGAACCGCAUGGUUCAAAAGUGAAAGACGGUCUUGCUGUCACUUAUAGAUGGAUCCGCGCUGCCUUAGCUAGUUGGUAAGGUAACGGCUUACCAAGGCAACGAUGCAUAGCCGACCUGAGAGGGUGAUCGGCCACACUGGAACUGAGACACGGUCCAGACUCCUACGGGAGGCAGCAGUAGGGAAUCUUCCGCAAUGGGCGAAAGCCUGACGGAGCAACGCCGCGUGAGUGAUGAAGGUCUUCGGAUCGUAAAACUCUGUUAUUAGGGAAGAACGUAUGUGUAAGUAACUGUGCACAUCUUGACGGUACCUAAUCAGAAAGCCACGGCUAACUACGUG